UACGAAGGGGACUAGCGUUGCUCGGAAUCACUGGGCGUAAAGCGCACGUAGGCGGCUUUCUAAGUCAGGGGUGAAAUCCUGGAGCUCAACUCCAGAACUGCCUUUGAUACUGGAGAGCUAGAGUCCGGAAGAGGUGAGUGGAACUGCGAGUGUAGAGGUGAAAUUCGUAGAUAUUCGCAAGAACACCAGUGGCGAAGGCGGCUCACUGGUCCGGUACUGACGCUGAGGUGCGAAAGCGUGGGGAGCAAACAGG
rnacentral:rRNA from 1 species